AUACGUAGGGGGCAAGCGUUAUCCGGAAUUAUUGGGCGUAAAGAGUGCGUAGGCGGUUACCUAAGCAGGGGGUGAAAGGCACUGGCUUAACCAAUGUCAGCCCCCUGAACUGGGCUACUUGAGUGCAGGAGAGGCAAGUGGAAUUCCUAGUGAAGCGUGGAAAUGCGUAGAUAUUAGGAGGAACACCAGUGGCGAAGGCGACUUUCUGGACUGUUACUGACACUGAGGCACGAAAGUGUGGGGAGCAAACAGGAUUAGAUACCCUGGUAGUCCACACCGUAAACGAUGAGCACUAGGUGUCGGGGAAGCAAUUCUUCGGUGCCGCAGUUAACGCAUUAAGUGCUCCGCCUGGGGAGUACGUACGCAAGUAUGAAACUUAAAGGAAUUGACGGGG
rnacentral:rRNA from 1 species